rnacentral:rRNA from 1 species
AUGGAGUCAGCGACCAUUUCAAGCAACGUCCGGCGCCAUAACCAGCCAGGUGGGCAUGACCCGGCGCACCAUGGGGCCUUCAACUUGGUAGAUCAAGACAGAAUAUGUCAAGAGGCUGAGCGGGCGGCGGCUGAGCAAGCGGCUCAGCAGACGACUUACCAGCCGUAUCCGGUUUAUCCAACGACUUCUAUCGAGGCAGGUAUGGCCACCAGGACCGAAGGUGUCCCCUGUCUAGCGCCGGCUCUACGUAACGAGCUCUUGCCCAAGGAUUUUAAGGGACCUAGGAAGGUGCCGAACUACACGGCCGACUUACAGCCCGGGGCAUGGAUUGAAAGUUACGUGAUGGCUAUGGAGUUAUUGGAGGUCAGUGAAGUUGCGAUGGCCAAGUACUUUACCAUGAUGUUGGAUGGGACUGCCCGCACUUGGUUGAAAGGCCUGCCACCUAAUUCAAUCAGUUCAUGGGCGGAGCUAAAAGCCCGGUUCAUCCAGAAUUUCAAGGAUACGUGCAAACAGCCCAUGUCAAUUGUGGAUUUGACGAAUUGUAAGCAAGAGGAGGGCGAGUCUACAACCCAUUGGGUGCGCCGGGUUAAAGCCAUAAUACAUUCAUCUGAUAAGAUGGAUGCCGGCUCUGCAGUCUUAAUGUUCGAGAAAAAUUGCCGCUUUUUGCCUCUAAAACAAAAGCUGGGGCGGCUCAAGCGCGAUUGUAAUGAUAUGGGCACGCUGAUGGCGGCCCUGGUCAAGUACUCCGACUCAGAUAGUACCAAGGAUCCCGAGUCUGAUGAUGACAAGACAGGGAAGGGAAAGAAGAAUGGCAACGGCAAGGGCCCUCAGCACAACCCGGCAAAUCAAGGAGGUAAUAAACGUAAGGCUGACGGUAGUUUGGAUUUUGUGGCUAACACUGGUGCACAGGCUAACAACCAACAACGUAAGGGGAGGCCACCUCCCCGGUCUAGCGGGUCAGGCCCCAUGCUUGAGCAGUUAUUGAACGAGCCCUGUCCAAGGCACGACACUCAGCAGAAGCCGGCUACCCAUCUAUGGAAGGACUAUACGAUCAUGAAGGCCUUCAAGAAUUCCAACAUGUUCGAUGGUAACAAUGAGCAGGGCGGCGGCUCAGGAGGCGGCGGUUUUCAUGGCCCGGGCGGCGGUUCAAAUCUCAAUUUUCAAAAUUCUCAAGGCAAUCAAGGUGGAUAUAACCAACAAUCUGGCCAGGGUGGUCAGCAGCAGCAGCAAGGUGGAUACCAGAGCCAUCCAAAGCAGCUGAAUAGUGGCCAAUAUCAUGUGUUUACCACCAGUCUAUGCAAACAGGACCAGAAGCUUCAUAAGAGGGCUGUGAAUGCUGUUGAGCCAGCAGUUCCUCGUUAUUUAAGAUGUCUGAGCAACCUAUUCUAUGGAGUAGGGAAGAUCACCCUCCCUGGGUUGAUAAUCCGGGUCACUUAG